rnacentral:rRNA from 1 species
UGAUCCAGCCAUGCCGCGUGAGUGAAGAAGGCCUUCGGGUUGUAAAGCUCUUUCGGCGGGGAAGAAAUCGCAUCUCCUAAUACGGGGUGUGGAUGACGGUACCGGAAUAAGAAGCACCGGCUAACUACGUGCCAGCAGCCGCGGUAAUACGUAGGGUGCGAGCGUUAAUCGGAAUUACUGGGCGUAAAGCGUGCGCAGGCGGUUAUGUAAGACAGAUGUGAAAUCCCCGGGCUCAACCUGGGAACUGCAUUUGUGACUGCAAGGCUAGAGUAUGGCAGAGGGGGGUGGAAUUCCACGUGUAGCAGUGAAAUGCGUAGAGAUGUGGAGGAACACCGAUGGCGAAGGCAGCCCCCUGGGCCAAUACUGACGCUCAUGCACGAAAGCGUGGGGAGCAAACAGGAUUAGAUACCCUGGUAGUCCACGCCCUAAACGAUGUCAACUAGGUGUUGGUGGGGUUAAACNCCAUUAGNUACCGUAGCUNACGCUGUAGAAGUNGACCGCCUGGGAGANGUACGCGCCGCANGGGGUUAACUCAAAGGAAUUGACGGGGACCCGCACAAGCGGUGGAUGAUGUGGAUUAAUUCGAUGCAACGCGAAAAACCUUACCUACCCUUGACAUGUCAGGAAAUCCGAAGAGAUUUGGAAGUGCUUCGAAAGGGAGCCUGAACACAGUGCUGCCUGGCUGUCGUCAGCUCGUGUCGUGA